rnacentral:miRNA from 1 species
UUCCCACUCCUCUUUUGUCCACUUACACUCUUUUUUUUUGUUAUAGUAGAAACUAUUAAAAAACAAAAGGGAGUGUAAGUGGACAAAAGGGGAGUGGGAAAAUCACCUC